AAACUUUUGAAAUCCGCCGCACCUGAGGAACAAACAGGGAGGAGAAACGGUUACUAUUUCAACUCAAACAUGUCGAAAAUAAAAUAAAACAGUGUUUCUUCAAAAAGAAGGACGACUUAGAUAAAAACGAGUCAGAAAAGCCUCCACAAGCAGCGACCAGCUCAGCAGCUGCAGCGGUCAUGGUACCGGUCUAAACCGGCUGAAGCAAGAGGCUCGCGCCUGAUACAGGUAACCAAGGCUGGUACCGGGACCAGGAGGCUGGUACCGGGAUCAGGAGGCUGGUGCCGGGGCAGGAGGCUGGUUAGGAUCACCGCCAGCCGGAGCAGGAGCCAGCUACAGUGGUAACAGUCAGCCAGGGUGACCACCGACAGGCGCGUACUCUGGCAUCAGUUAACCCGGUACAACAACCGGAGCAAGAGGCGGGAACUGCGACAUCAGCAGCUAGCUUAGAGCAGGAGGAUCCAGGAGGAGAGGAGACUGAGGAGGAGGAGGAGGAGGAGAGCGGACUGAGGAGAGGACUGUGGGACUGUAGGAGGUCGAGGGUGACUAAAGGACCCAGAACUGUCACAGACACACGGAGUAAAACCUGAAAAAAGAGGAGGAGGAGAACCCGGACAGGUUCUGUUGUGGAGGUGAUCUGGACCAAACAUGGUGAGUUUACUGUCUAUUAACAGGCCGCCGUGCCAAUCUUUGUAUAAUAGUAAUGAGAUUUGUGUGAUUUAUUAAAAGCUCUUCUUUGUUAAAGUUAGACCUGUUGAUAAAUUAAUUUCUGUGUUCUGUAAGUCCCACUUGUGGUGAUGUGGGCAUUUAUCUGUGCUGUGCGGAGUAUAUCCUUGAAUAAUUGUAAGUUAUCUUUAUAACAUUUAGACCAUGGAUAUUAUUUAAAAUCGAGGCUUGUAAGUCCCACAGAGUGGUAAGUGGGCAUUUACACGUUGUUUUCUGCGGAGGCCGAGAACCGCCACUGCAAAUAAAAACUAAUGCAAAAAAAAAAAAGAAAUGGUGCAGAUAAAAAAAAGAGCUACAACGGAAGUUAACGAUGGAAAAAAAAAAUUCUUCCUGAGAAAAUAAAAGGAUGCAAUUAAAAAAAGCCACAACAGAAGUUAUUUGCAGUGGGCUUCAGUUUCUUUGUUUUUCAUUAGUAACUUCCGUUGUGGCUCCUUUUUCGCGUCCUUUUUUAUUUGUAGUCGUGGCGGUUAUCGGCCACCGUUGUUGUCAGCAUGUUUUCUGUAGAUGUUCCGGGACCUGUGCCCGUCUCCUCAUCCCUGAGCUGUCAUAUGGACUUUAGAAAUCACCUAAUGAUUUACAAAUCAAUCACUGGUCAACACCUUCAGUUGGCUUCAUCAGUUCAAGUUGAGUGAGGCGUUUUCUGUCUUCUCUUUUCAAAGUUUGUUUCGUUGGUUUUCAAACCUGAGACUCUGUCUUCAGGAUUCUGGUUCUGGGGAAACCUAACAGGCGCUAAGAUGUUGACUACAGCAGCAUUAGACCGAAGAAAAUCACUUCAGUGAAACAACAAAAACAAAGUCAUAAUCAUUUUGAUCACGAUUGUUAAAUGAUUUAAAAUGUGGAUCACGCACAUUUAAGCACCUCAAACCAGGAGCAGGGCCGCACAGUACUAAGAAAAACCCUCAUGGUUGGGUCUGACCCGGGUGUUAAACCGGUCUGAGGUCAGUACCAGGCCAAGCAAAGGUGGUACGUGUGUUUUAGUCCCUUCAGUGCAGACAGUCGUCUCUGGAGAGGUGAGAGCAGCAGUCAGACUGUCUGCUUUCCUCUCUCUCUUCUUAAUUGUCUUACAUUUGUCUCUGCAGACCCGUCUUUGUCUCCCUCUCUCAGCGUCUCUUGCUCUCUCUGAUAGUUUAAAAUCCCAUUAUCCCGAGCAGACUGAAGCGGGUUCCUUUGAGCCUCGUCUCAGUGCGACAGGAACACAACAGGAGUCUGUUCUUGCAGGAGGAGCGACGUCUGAAGAAGAAGGAGGAAAUGUAACUGGAUAACAGCUCGACACUCUCUGUGCAUCGAUUUUUAUUUCACAUCAACAAAACCGCAAACUGUCUGUUUGAUUCUCUUCUCAUUACCUCUCAGUCCUGGUUUACCUUCCUUCUGCUCGCAGAAUAAUCCCACCUGUAGGCAGGAGGAGCCAUGAUGUACCGCUGCGGUGAGAUGAAUUUAAUCAGAUUAAGAAACAAAUUUAUUCAUUUAACUUAAAAAACCUGCAGAGAAACGCAGUCCUCCUCUUCCUCCUCCUCCUCCUCCUCCUCCUGCUCGGUGUGUGUGUGUGCAAACAGACCGACUCAUGCACAGCUCUUGAUUGAUCCUUUUGCAGCCGUUACAUUAAAUAUGCGUCUCCCUAACCUGGUGUAUUUCCUGCUGCAUCCUCACCUCGGCUCCUGGGUCAGAUCUAUGAGGGCGAUGGCGUCUCUUCAUUCAGGUGAAACCCUCGCUGAAAUGCCUCCUCGUUCUGGAGAGGAUUCAUUUGGACUUAUUUGCAGCUCUGUUUACCUCAGCAUGUCUGCACUCGGGUCCUUUCUCCUCUUUUCUUUCAGCAGAAUUAUUUUGGUUUGUGUAAACACAGACGCCGUUUCAUCAUGUUUACUCGGCCUGUUCGCGGCUCGAUCCCUGAAGGAGGUCUGCAGAAAGUGGAGAGGCGAGAAACAAAAAUCCACAGUGAUGUUUUUAAAUCGGUGAAAUAAUAUCAGAGUGAGUCUGAGAAUGAAGACUGAGAGCUCUGCUGUCAGAUUGAAACAGCUCUCAGACUGAAUGAGAAAUGACAAACUCUGCUGACUGUUUGUCUGUUUUUUACUCCUAAUCCCGGAGGAUUUACUGGACGCUCGGCUGCAGAGAACUCAAUCAGGGUCAGAGGUAUAGAUUUCCAGCAGUCAGAGAGAGAGUUGUGUGAAAUAUGGAUUUGUGCGUUGAUGUUGCAGAUUGGCCUCACAUGGGAGAUGUAAUAAAUUAGAGGGCGGGUGUGAAAUCGGUCAGCGUGCUUCAAAUAUUUUACCCCGCUCUUAUCUGAGUCCUCCCCGGGCGCAGAGGGAGGUGGUUUAAUGUUCACAGCCUCCUCUGCAUUAAAUAGCUCACAGCGUUUAGCAUCAUUUUAUCACACAGGGAGCCGCAGACUCCGGGUGAUAUCUGUGUCAUUAAUCUGCCAUCUGCCCGUACCGUGGAUUAGUCACAAAUACAGAUCGAGGGCCUCGAGGGCGGCUAAGAAACAUGCCUGUGGAUUUAUCCGUUUAGUACUUUGGUCAAAGAAAUGUCAACAGCUCCACUUCUUUGGGGAACCACCAGCAGCAGUCGGGACAUCUACACGUUCAAAAAAAAAAAAGAUGCAGAGUUUCUACAGGCUGGAAAACGACCAAAACGGACAUUUGACUGUUUUUAGAACAAGUUUCGUCCAGUCGAUUGGCGGUUAACAUCACGAUGCAGGGCCGAGUGGCGUGUAGUGGUGGAGAAGGCACAGGUGUUGGGACUACAUCCGUAUAUCUGUGCAUCAAUUCCACCAACAGCUGAAGUGGCCCGGUCUCCUUCAGGUGACCCUCUCCAGUUUCUCUUUCAGAAAGUUUCACUUUUAUUAAAAGUCUGUCUCCACCUUCAACUUUGAACAGAAUAUCACUUAUUAUAUUAAAUUUCAAGACAUUAGCUUUGGAUUUAAGUCCUUUAGAGUUUCAAAGACCUGCCAGCCUCUUUGAAAGCUCCACCCUCAGGACAAGAUUUACCAACAGACGGGCGUUAAUGCCAACACUGACGGAGGAGUCGCAGAGCGGUUUGAUCCAGUCCAUCUCUCUGAACGUUUUAAUGAAGAGAGCGGCCGACCGACGGAGAUCUGAGGAAACUCCAACAGAGUUUUUAUUAAAGUGAACUCAGAGUUUCUAAAGAGAGACGGUGUAAAGUCAUACAAGAUAAUAAAAGAAGAUAGUAAUAAAAUAUAAUAAUACAAGAUAAUUAAAGACAAGAUCAUAAUAGAAGAUAAUAAAACAAUAAAAGACUGAGUUUAAAUAUGGUAACAUGUUAUACACUAAAGUGAACUCUUGAGUUUUUAAAGAGAGACGUAUUAAAACCAGAUAAUAAAACAAGAUAAUUAAAGACAAGAUAAUAAAACAAGAUAAUAGUACAAGAUACUUGAAGACAAGAUACUUAUAAAAGAUAAUAAAACAAGAUAAUUGGUACAAGAUAGCAAAACAAGAUAGCAAAACAAUACAUUAAACAAGAUAAUCAAAGACAAGAUGAUAAUACAUGAUAAUGAAACCAGAAAAUAAUAAAGACAAGAUAAUAAUGCAAUAAAAAACAAGAUAAUAGAAGACAAGACAAUAAAGAUAGAUAACAAACAAGAUAUUAAUACAAGACAAUAAAACAAGAUAAUAAACAGAAAUAUAUAUUGAAGAUAUUAAAACAAGAUAAUUAAAGACAAGAUAAAAAACAAGAUGAUUAUAGACAAGUUAGAAGUACGAGAUAAUAGAACAAGAUAAUUGAAGACAAGAUAAUAGAACAACAAAAGACUGGGUUUAAAAACACCAACAUGUAACAUGUUUUUCACUUGUUUACAUCUCCCCUCCCAUCAUCCAGAUUUUGAGGUUUUAGAGCUGUACUUGACACAGAUAAGAGACUGGACCUGGACCUGGACCUGAACCUGGACCUGAUAAAUCAGCAUCCCUUUGUUUUUCACGCUCCUGUUUCUCGGUAAUGUUUAGACAAUGGCAGUUUUUCAGUCUUUAAAUAUUAUCCAGACAGGAUGAAGAAAGAGGCGGUUUUUCAGCCUCUGAUUGGAUGUUGAUGGUUGACUGUUGAGGUCAGAAAAUAAACACCUGUUUUUGCUAAACAGGUGAAGGAUUUCAGAGUUCUGAACAUGGACCCAAGUCAGAGGACAAGGUCUUUGUCUCUGUUUGACUCCAGAAAUAAAAUAAAAGUGUCAGGACAUAAUUACAGUCAGAGGUCUGAACUGAAGGGCUGUAACUCACCCACUGGUUUCUCCCUGUUUUGCAUCGAUUGCUGCUGAAAUUCACAGUCAGAGUCUUUUUUUUAAUUACCUGUUCAAACUGAGGAAUGGUGUGUGUGUGUGUGUGUGUGUGUGCGUGUGUGUGUCUGUUUUCAGAGACACAAAUAUUGAGAUUUUCAAAGGUGAGAUUCACACCCUCUUAGUUCAGGGUGUGAGUCUGACUGUGUUUGCAGCAUUGAUAGUGUUUGACUCUCCCUGAUAUCCUGAUUAAAAUGCACGAAAGUGAGACGGGUUGAAAUAUGAUUCAUAACUUCAUUAACUGGGAGACAUCAAAAUAUUAAUUUCUGCAAAUUUGGGGAAUUUUUUUGCACAAAACUCCAACCUGCAAGUGAACACUCCAUUAAAUCAGGAGAGGCUGAAUUACAAGUCAGCUCUAAUUCACUUAACAAGAUUUAAACCAGGAUUUUUAAUGUGCACGUCUUUUUCAAUUAGACCUGACUCUAAUCUUUUCAUGUUUUUAUGCAAAUGACUCGGUGAUGGAGCAGCCGUUCACAUGAGACCACCACCACCACCACCCAGAGUCCACCGCUGUACCGAAGGCUGAACGCCGUCUGUUUUCUUCUUUAACGCUCAGGAGUUCAGUCAGAAAAGCUGAAUGUUUUGAACACGCUCAGUAAUGUUGCACAGGCACAACUACGCAGGAGCCAUGGUUGCCAGGUCUGCUUAUUAUAAGCCAAUUUGGCUUCUUUUUUGAAAAGUUCGUGUAAAUUUUGGUAAUGGUGGGUUGAAUCUUUUUUGGGCUUGUUGUUCCUCCAAACUCAGGAGAGAUCUGCUGCUCACUCUACAGGAAAACUCAGUUCAGAAGUUUCAUAAAUUACUGUCUCUCAUUCUCAUUCUCUCUCUGUUUUUCAUACGUUAAGAUUCCACUUUGAUGAAAGUGUCUCUUUAUUUCACAUGUAUGGUUUUAGUUUGGGCACUUUAUUUAUGAAACAUUAAAAAGACAUUACUAUUUCUGACACUAUGGUCAUCACUCAAAUGACAUUCUCUGUAAUCAGUGAGAGAGUGUAUCAGUUUUUUAACAUGUUGGCUGCUGCACUUUAUUUUAAUGUUUGAAAUGACAAACCUUGUACAUAAAUCCUCUGGUAUGUGCCUCUGCUUAUCCUAAUCAUGGUGGGCUGCCAUGGCCAAAAUUGCCUGGGCCACGACACAACACCGGUGAAGGGCGUCAAAGACGUCCACUCAGGUAUUUCUCUUCCAUGAAUCCUGAGGUGUUUAAUCUUGUUGGUCGUUCACCCUCCUUUACAGGAUAUAACUGUGUUCCUAAUGUUGCUCUGAGAGAAGAGUUCAAUCUUCCUGAUGAAGUUAGACAAACUUUUGACCGACGCCGCUGUGGGUUACAAUGUACUCUCUCUCUCUCUCUCUCUCUCUCUCUCUCUCUCUCUCUAUUCUCUCUCUGUGGUUUCGUCUUAAACACCUCAUCGGUGUUCGGCGGCUAUUUCUUCCGGUCGUCGAUGCUCCAGACUCGAUGCCCAACCCCACUGAUGGUGGAGUGUUAAAACUUCUUAGAGGAGCGUCUCAGCGUCUCUUCAAAUCAGCUGAUCGGCCUCUGUCUGCAGGAAUCUGUCGCCUAACUUUCUCUACCUGAAGUUUCUCAUGAAAGGGGCAGGGCUAAAACACUGAUUAGUUGAUUAGCGACGUGACGUUCUCACUUGAGACCAACUGAAGUACUCCUUUACAAACUUGGAUAAUUAUCUUGUUUUGCAUCAAAAUGAAAAGGAUCUCCUUGGACUUCAGAGACUCUGUAGAGGUCUGUAUCUGAUCCCAUCAUCCCCGCGUCCUUACAGACGCUCAGGUCUGUGUUUAUGAGGCUGUUUCACUUCCUGCUGACGCCCUCAGUCUGCGGUGGGACACCUUUCCAGCUGGGCGGGUCCAUCACCUCCAGGAAUCCAUCAGGGCCUGGUGUCGCUGCAGAAGCUGCUCUGAUGGUUUCUGUUCAGAGUUUUUUUUACCGUACGCUCGUAUCGCUGACUUUCAAACCUCCUCCUCCUCCUCCUCCUCUUCUUCCUCUUCCUCCUCCUCCUCCUCCUCCUUCAUCUCUGUUUGGGUUUUUUCCAUCAUUUAGACCGUCACUUCAUUUCAGGCCGCCACAGUGAAAUAUCGCAGCAUCAUCAGCUUUCUCUGUUAGUGUGUAUUAGUGUGUGUUAGUGUGUGUGUGUGUGUGUGUAUGUGUGUAUUAGUGUGUGUUAGUGUGUGUGUGUGUUGUGGCACUGAUAAAUGCUGAGCUAAAUUUAGCUCUGUGACCUGCUGCUGGGAGAGAGCGGGCCUGGAGAUUUAGGUUGUGACACACACACACACACACACACACACACACACACACACACACACACACACACACGUCUGUUAGUGACCCAAAUACCAGUUAGAAAUAUAUA